rnacentral:rRNA from 1 species
UACGGAGGGGGCGAGCGUUGUUCGGAAUCAUUGGGCGUAAAGGGCGCGUAGGCGGCGUCGUAAGCCAAAUGUGAAAGCCCUUGGCUUAACCAAGGAAUUGCAUCUGAAACUGCGGUGCUUGAAUCCGGGAGGGGAGAGUGGAAUUCCCAGUGUAGCGGUGAAAUGCGUAGAUAUUGGGAGGAACACCGGCGGCGAAGGCGGGUCUCUGGGCAGCAACUGACGCUGAGGCGCGAAAGCGUGGGGAGCGAACAGG